UACGGAGGAUGCAAGCGUUAUCCGGAUUCAUUGGGUUUAAAGGGUGCAUAGGCGGACUAUUAAGUCAGUGGUGAAAGCCUGCAGCUUAACUGCAGAACUGCCAUUGAUACUGAUAGUCUUGAGUUUGGUUAAGGUAGGCGGAAUGUGUAAUGUAGCGGUGAAAUGCUUAGAUAUUACACAGAACACCAAUUGCGUAGGCAGCUUACUGAGCCGACACUGACGCUGAGGCACGAAAGCGUGGGGAUCGAA
rnacentral:rRNA from 1 species